AACGAACGCUGGCGGCAUGCCUAACACAUGCAAGUCGAACGAGAUCUUCGGGUCUAGUGGCGCACGGGUGCGUAACGCGUGGGAAUCUGCCCUUUGGUUCGGAAUAACAGUUGGAAACGACUGCUAAUACCGGAUGAUGACGAAAGUCCAAAGAUUUAUCGCCAGAGGAUGAGCCCGCGUAGGAUUAGCUAGUUGGUGUGGUAAAGGCGCACCAAGGCGACGAUCCUUAGCUGGUCUGAGAGGAUGAUCAGCCACACUGGGACUGAGACACGGCCCAGACUCCUACGGGAGGCAGCAGUGGGGAAUAUUGGACAAGGGGCGAAAGCCUGAUCCAGCAAUGCCGCGUGAGUGAUGAAGGCCUUAGGGUUGUAAAGCUCUUUUACCCGGGGUGAUAAUGACAGUACCGGGAGAAUAAGCUCCGGCUAACUCCGUGCCAGCAGCCGCCGUAA
rnacentral:rRNA from 1 species